rnacentral:rRNA from 1 species
UACGAAGGGGGCUAGCGUUGUUCGGAAUUACUGGGCGUAAAGGGCGCGCAGGCGGCCCUCCAAGUCAGGCGUGAAAGCCCCGGGCUCAACCCGGGAAUAGCGCUUGAGACUGUGGGGCUUGAGUUCGGGAGAGGAGAGUGGAAUUCCCAGUGUAGAGGUGAAAUUCGUAGAUAUUGGGAAGAACACCGGUGGCGAAGGCGGCUCUCUGGACCGACACUGACGCUGAGGCGCGAAAGCGUGGGGAGCAAACAGG